AACGAACGCUGGCGGCAUGCCUAACACAUGCAAGUCGAACGAGGCCUUCGGGUCUAGUGGCGCACGGGUGCGUAACGCGUGGGAACCUGCCCUUAGGUUCGGAAUAACUCCCCGAAAGGGGUGCUAAUACCGGAUAAUGUCUUCGGACCAAAGAUUUAUCGCCUUUGGAUGGGCCCGCGUUGGAUUAGCUAGUUGGUAGGGUAAAAGCCUACCAAGGCGACGAUCCAUAGCUGGUCUGAGAGGAUGAUCAGCCACACUGGGACUGAGACACGGCCCAGACUCCUACGGGAGGCAGCAGUGGGGAAUAUUGACAAUGGGCGAAAGCCUGAUCCAGCAAUGCCGCGUGAGUGAUGAAGGCCUUAGGGUUGUAAAGCUCUUUUACCCGGGAUGAUAAUGACAGUACCGGGAGAAUAAGCUCCGGCUAACUCCGUG
rnacentral:rRNA from 1 species